GUGCCAGCCGCCGCGGUAACACCGGCAGCCCGAGUGAUGGCCGCUUUUAUUGGGCCUAAAGCGUCCGUAGCCGGCCGUUCAGGUCCGUCGGGAAAUCCACUGGCUCAACCAGUGGGCGUCCGGCGGAAACCGAUCGGCUUGGGACAGGGAGACCAGAGGGGUACGUCCGGGGUAGGAGUGAAAUCCUGUAAUCCUGGACGGACCACCGGUGGCGAAAGCGCCUCUGGAGAACUGAUCCGACGGUGAGGGACGAAAGCUGGGGUCUCGAACCGGAUUAGAUACCCUUGUAGUCC
rnacentral:rRNA from 1 species